rnacentral:ncRNA from 2 species
GCAAGCACCUUCCAGUAAGGUGCGGCUUGUUAGCGAUGGGAAACGGAAGCCGGUGAGAAUCCGGCGCAGACGCGCUACUGUAAUUGGGAUGCGAAUCGCAUUUUGCCACUGAGCUCUAUAGCAGCUUGGGAAGGUGAAAUUCUCGCGAGAAGCCCAUCAGCCAGGAGACGCCCCAUCGCAUAGUUCCCU